GCCAACGGAUAUCGGCUUAUUUUGGAGAAGAUGGGGAUCGGAGGGUCACCCACACCCAGGCCAAGAAGAAGUGGGACGAUCUGAAGACCAAGUACAAGCCUACCGGGCACAUGUCCCUGAAGAGGAGGUUUAAGGCUGAACAUUUACCACUUCUCAUCAACACUAAAGUCAGUAGGCUGAAAGGAAAGUUUGACCAUGCAAAGACAUUCCAGACUAGCGAGGGAUCUGCAUGCUUGUUGUACUGCUGAGUCAUAGUUCUGCACAACCAAUACAGCAAUACACCACCUGACAUCCUGACUGUUAAGGACCGAAAGAAGCAAACAUUUCCUCUGAGGCAUCUGGAAAUUGCAGAAGGAAUUGCUUUUAACAACGAGUGGAGC